UUAAGAACAGGAAUACUUUGCAUAUCAUCGUCACUAAUUACAUGGGAAACAUGGUAGUAUUCCAUUCACUGAUUACAGAUUAUAGACACAGAACCCUUGAUUACAUAAAACUUACCAUCUUUUUGCAAAGGAACAGGACCGUGGUCUAGUGAAAAAGAUUAUAACAAAAAAAAAAAAUUCAAACAAAAUUAAGCGGCUGCUUUUUCCGCAAGUAGAUUAGCAUUAUCGUGGCGAGUGCAGGCUGUAUAGCAUGAUCUAACAUUCAACAGAUUCAUUACAACUCCUGACCUUCCCUUGGGUAUCACCCUCCUUAAUCUGAUCCCUUUCUUUCCUUUGUUCUUUGUCUUGGUCUCAGAACCCGCAUUUGUAAAUUCAAUGGUGGCGGGACUGUCCUCGCACUCUGAUUUUUUGUCCGAUCCCUCAUCAUCGUCAUCACCAUCAUCAUCCUUAACAAUGCCAUCUUCCUUGAUAUUGUCUAAUGAUUCGAUAAAAUAAACUCUGAAACUUGGGGAUCCAGGACCGUCGCAUUUUUGGGUCAAGCUGCUGAGCGUUCCAUCCUCUUCUUCUCCGUUCUCAUCUCCGGCUGUUUCUGUUGCUUCCAUCUCUUCGACGUCGGGCAUUGCCUCCACCGCCUUGACUUCGGCUUCCUUCUCUUUAUUUUCAUCUUUACAGUCUUGUUGGAUAUUUUUCUCUUUCCUUGUUUU
rnacentral:misc_RNA from 1 species